rnacentral:miRNA from 1 species
GCUCCGGUAGCUUAGUUGGU